UACGAAGGGGGGCUAGCGUUGUUCGGAAUUACUGGGCGUAAAGCGCACGUAGGCGGAUUGUUAAGUGAGGGGUGAAAUCCCAGGGCUCAACCCUGGAACUGCCUCUCAUACUGGCAAUCUCGAGUUCGAGAGAGGUGAGUUGGAAUUGCGAGUGUAGAGGUGAAAUUCGUAGAUAUUCGCAGGAACACCAGUGGCGAAGGCGGCUCACUGGCUCGAUACUGACGCUGAGGUGCGAAAGCGUGGGGAGCAAACAGG
rnacentral:rRNA from 1 species